rnacentral:rRNA from 1 species
AAGGGGGAUUUAAAGGUGAAAACCGCCGGAGGAUUGGAAUAUGUCCUAUUAGCUAGUUGGCGGGAUAAAAGCCCACCAAGGCGAUGAUAGGUAGCUGGUCUAAGAGGAUGAACAGCCACAAUGGGAUUGAGAUACGGCCCAUAUUCCUACGGGAAGCAGCAGUAGGGAAUCUUCCACAAUGGGCGAAAGCCUGAUGGAGCAAUGCCAUGUGAACGAUGAAGGCCAGACAGGUCGUAAAGUUCUUUUAGAGGGGAAAAAUUUGAUGGUACCCUCUGAAUAAGUGACAGCAAACUAUGUGCCAGCAGCUGCGGUAAUACAUAGGUCGCGAGCGUUAUUCGGAUUUAUUGGGCGUAAAGCAAGCGCAGGCGGAUGAAUAAGUUCUGCAUUAAAAGCAGCUGCUUAACAGUUGUUUGUGCCGAAUACUAUUCAUCUAGAAUGUGGUAGGAAGUUUUGGAAUUAAAUAUGGAGCGGUGGAAUGUGUAGAUAUAUUUAAGAACACCAGAGGCGAAGGCGAAAACUUAGGCCAUUAUUGACGCUUAGGCUUGAAAGUGUGGGUAGCAAAUGGGAUUAGAUACCCCAGUAGUCCACACCGUAAACGAUGGGUAUUAGAUGUCGGGAUUUGUGUUUCGGCGUUGUAGCUUACGUGUUAAAUACCCCGCCUGGGUAGUACAUAUGCAAAUAUGAAACUCAAAGGAAUUGACGGGGACCUGAACAAGUGGUGGAACAUGUUGCUUAAUUCGAUAAUACACGAAAAACCUUACCAAGGUUUGACAUCCUUUGCAAAGCCAUAGAAAUAUGGUGGAGGUUAUCAGAGUGACAGGUGGUGCAUGGUUGUCGUCAGCUCGUGUCAUGAGAUGUUUGGUUAAGUCCCGCAACGAGCGCAACCCUACUCUUUAGUUGAUUGUCUAAAGAGACUGAACAGUAAUGUAUAGGAAGGAUGGGAUCACGUCAAAUCAUCAUGCCCCUUAUGCCUGAGGGAAAGGGG